GUGCCUGUAGCUCAAUUGGAUAGAGCAUCUGACUACGGAUCAGAAGGUUGGGGGUUCGAGUCCCUCCAGGCACG
rfam:Desulfotomaculum kuznetsovii DSM 6115, complete genome.